UUUUUUUACACCCAGUCACGAGGAUUCUUCAAAACCUCCAUGAGCUUUUCUUCGCGGGUCCCGGACCCUUCUUUACCCAGCGGGGACAUGUAUUCCCAUCGUGCCGUUUCCGGCAACCUAUCGCGGGUGUUAAUAUUGGAAGAGGAAGAGAGGAGAACACAAAAACGUACGACAUCAAGAUACUUUCUAUCCUCGCCCCUGGGGUGUUCAACCCAAACUUGGUGCCUCUAUCAUAAACCAAAUUAAACUCGACAUACCUCCCUCUUCUCAACUGCUGCCACCUCUUUUCCUCGGGCGUCCAGCUGUCGUUCAUGUGCUUGUAGACGAUGGGGACGUAUGCGGGGAGGAAGGCGGACGAAGCGGAUUUUACAAACUCGAAAAUCUUUUCGGCGCUUGGCCCCCGCUCGGUGUUUGGUGCGCCGGGGGGCGGGGCAUGUACGGGGGACGACGUGGUGAGAUCGUCAAAGAAGAUCCCGCCUAUGCCUCUACACUCGCCGCGGUGGGUGAUGGUGAAGUACUUGUCGCACUGCUGCUUGAAAUCGGGCCAGUAGCGCUCGUCGUGCUGGUCACACGCUUGCUUGAGCGUCUUGUGGAAAUGGACGGCAUCGGCCUCGUCGAGGUAGGACGGGGUGAGGUCGGAUCCGCCGCCAAACCACCACGUUUUCGGUUUCCCGGUCUCGGGGUCUUCAAUCUCAAAGUACCUGUAGUUGAGAUGGACGGUGGGCACGUGUGGGUUCCGGGGGUGGAUGACGAUGCUGAGGCCGGUUGCGAAGAAGGGGACGGUGCCGGUGGGUUCCGGCAGGCUCGGGUGGUCCGGCAGCAUGGCCUUUUGGGCCUUGGGAGGGAGUUUACCGUGGACGACGGAGACGUUGAUACCGGCUUUUUCAAAGACGCGGCCGUCGGCGAGGACGCAGGAGGAGCCUUCGCCGCCUUCGGGGCGGAUCCAGGCGUCGCGCAGGAAUGUGGGCGGGGCGGGGGACGGGGAGAAUUCGUUGGGCGCGGCGGAGGAUUCGAUGUGUUCCAUGGUGUUGACGAUGUGGUCCUGCAGCGACUUGACCCAGGCGGCCAUGCGGAUGCGCAUAGGGUUCUGCCGGGUGUCAGCGAACAGCAUCUGAUAAAUAGGGGCGGGGGCUUACAGCAGGGUCGUCGUGUUCGAUGGCGUCGGCGGGCUGCCAGGGGAAGCCGUGUGUGUCGAUGGCGUCGACGGCGGGCACGGCGUCGCAGCGGGCGAUGUCCUGGGCGGUGUGAGCAGCUGCAGAUAUGCUACGGAUAUGGGCGACGUACAUUACCUCUGUAGCGCCGUGUGAGCUCGAACGCGAGGCCGACGAGGAAGCCGGUGGUGGCGCAGCCGAGGAGGACGCGGGAAGGAGGGGGAGGGGGGCGCGUGGAGUACAGCCGGC
rnacentral:sRNA from 1 species